rnacentral:rRNA from 1 species
GACGUAGGGCGCAAGCGUUGUCCGGAUUUAUUGGGCGUAAAGAGCUCGCAGGCGGCCUGUCGCGUCGACCGUGAAAACCCGCAGCUCAACUGCGGGCUUGCGGUCGAUACGGGCAGGCUGGAGUUCGGUAGGGGAGACUGGAAUUCCUGGUGUAGCGGUGAAAUGCGCAGAUAUCAGGAGGAACACCGGUGGCGAAGGCGGGUCUCUGGGCCGAUACUGACGCUGAGGAGCGAAAGCGUGGGGAGCGAACAGG